rnacentral:rRNA from 1 species
UGGGGGAUAUUGCACAAUGGGCGAAAGCCUGAUGCAGCGACGCCGCGUGGGGGAUGAAGGCUUUUGGGUUGUAAACCUCUUUCGCUAUCGAACAAGGCCCGCUUAGGGUGGGUUGAGGGUAGGUGGAGAAGAAGCGCCGGCUAACUACGUGCCAGCAGCCGCGGUAAUACGUAGGGCGCGGGCGUUGUCCGGAAUUAUUGGGCGUAAAGGGCUUGUAGGCGGCUUGUUGCGCCUGCUGUGAAAACGCGGGGCUUAACUUCGCGCGUGCAGUGGGUACGGGCAGGCUUGAGUGUGGUAGGGGUGACUGGAAUUCCAGGUGUAGCGGUGGAAUGCGCAGAUAUCUGGAGGAACACCGAUGGAGAAGGCAGGUCACUGGGCCAUUACUGACGCUGAGGAGCGAAAGCAUGGGUAGCGAACAGG